GGAAGUCCUCCAGAACCACAGGAAAGGGAGGGAUGGAAAACAGGGCUCCUGCAAGAUUGCUGGCAGGAAAUUCAUCCCGGACAACGCUGCCUGCUUUCUAGUGAGGGCAGAAGACAGAGAUGAAAAGUCUGUUUAUCUUGGUGCUGGAAGCAGAAUGAUAAGAUCCAGAGCAGGACCACUUUGAAGGUGCAAGGACUGUGGCUCCCAGACACAUCAACUCC
rnacentral:lncRNA from 1 species